CAACUCAGUAAAUUGCCAGUUUUCAUCAUGAAACUUCAGAUCCAAUCAAAACAUUCAUGUUCAGCAAUCACUAAUAUAGGUGGGAAGGGCAAGGCAGAGCGGUUUAACAACUAUACAGCAAUGAAGGUAGUACACCGUAUCCAAAAAGAAAAAAUGUAAGAAGUAGCAACAGCUUGGCUGCAGAAUCAGCAAAAGUUCUUCCAGAAAGGAAAAACCAGUUGAACAGCAGAACAAGAGCAAGGAAACAUGUAAAUGAUUUCUUCUCAUCACGCCACAACAAUAUAUCUGCAACUGUAAUGACAAAGUUUGAGGUCAUUCUACAAGCUAACUUGAAUGAAUAAUUGCAAUCUUUAAGGGUUCUUAUCGAAGGAAAAAAAAAACAUUUGUGCAAUUCACCUUUUAUGUUCUACCUCAUUUUAAGUGAAGACUAGAAAGAAAUAAGAAGAUCCCUCUAGUUAUGUCGUGAA